rnacentral:rRNA from 1 species
AACGAACGCUGGCGGCAUGCCUAACACAUGCAAGUCGAACGAGACCUUCGGGUCUAGUGGCGCACGGGUGCGUAACGCGUGGGAACCUGCCCUUAGGUUCGGAAUAACUCCCCGAAAGGGGUGCCAAUACCGGAUAAUGUCUUCGGACCAAAGAUUUAUCGCCUUUGGAUGGGCCCGCGUUGGAUUAGCUAGUUGGUAGGGUAAAAGCCUACCAAGGCGACGAUCCAUAGCUGGUCUGAGAGGGUGAUCAGCCACACUGGGACUGAGACACGGCCCAGACUCCUACGGGAGGCAGCAGUGGGGAAUAUUGGACAAUGGGCGAAAGCCUGAUCCAGCAAUGCCGCGUGAGUGAUGAAGGCCUUAGGGUUGUAAAGCUCUUUUACCCGGGAUGAUAAUGACAGUACCGGGAGAAUAAGCUCCGGCUAACUCCGUG